UACGUAGGGCGCAAGCGUUGUCCGGAAUUAUUGGGCGUAAAGAGCUCGUAGGCGGCUUGUCACGUCGGGUGUGAAAGCCCGGGGCUUAACCCCGGGUCUGCAUUCGAUACGGGCUAGCUAGAGUGUGGUAGGGGAGAUCGGAAUUCCUGGUGUAGCGGUGAAAUGCGCAGAUAUCUGGAGGAACACCGGUGGCGAAGGCGGAUCUCUGGGCCAUUACUGACGCUGAGGAGCGAAAGCGUGGGGAGCGAGCAGG
rnacentral:rRNA from 1 species